GUGCACAUCCCGUUCCGACGGGAUUAUGCGUCCAGAAAAGGUCGCCAUGUUUUAAGUGGUUUGUCACAUAAAGGUUAGUCUUGGUGGGAUUAUCCGUGCCUUUUCUUUUUUUUUUAGCAACACAGGGUCCUCUGACACAACUUCUGUCUGAGCCACGGAGGAGCCCAGGUUUGUUGGCGAGAGGCCGGCGAGAUUUCCUGGGAAACACAGAGAAGAUACUGGGAGGGGAAAAGUGAGGAAGAGGAUCAAGGCACCCAGGGUCCAGUCCCGUCUGGCCAACACCUACUUGCAGACCAAAGAGGAGCUGGGGAAGUGGGACCAGUCCAAUCCCAGCCCCGUCUCCCACCGCGGGCACUCCCUCCUUCGCCCACCUCCUCUGCUGCGUGGCUGUGUCCGGAACUCCUGGAACAGUGGCCAGCAUGCAGCAGGUGCUUAAUAACUGUGUAUGCCAUCAGCACGUGCAGGACUGAAAGAGUGACUCCCUGUGAGGCAGCUCAAGCUGCCAUCCUGGAACACCACCAACUAAGGGGGAAUUUAGCAACAGAAACACUUGUUUCUCACGGUGCUGGGGGCUGGGAGUCCGAGCUCCCGGCGUGGGCAGGUAAUUCAUAGGGCCUUUGUCACAAAAACUUGUCAAGCAACUCCACCUGGUUGGCGUCUUUUUGUAGCUUCGGGGCUUGAAAUAUUUCCCCCUAAAGGUUUCUGUAAGUUUCCAGCAGUAUCUUGUCUGGUGUAUAAAUGAAAGACUGCUUUUCUCCGAGUGGCUCCCUGGGAGCAUGCAGGCUCACUUUUGCAAUUGGCAAAAAACGCCUUUUCUCAGGCCCCGGGAGGAGAGCUGGCCUUCUGCGGGAUGCCCCCACGGGCUUCCUGGAGACCGACACACACAGGAACCCAGCAAUGCCCAUGGCAGGAUGCCGGCUCUGGGUUUCGAAACGGACCUACGCUUUGCCCAGGGAUCGGGGAGGAUUGCCUGGGACUUAACUGCCUUGUGACCUGCUUUCCAAGCUCAAAUGCAGAGCAGGAAGGGGUGAGCGGGAGGGGUAGGGGAUGGCGUAGCACCUAUGGAAGUUGGUGCCAGGAGACUGAGGUGCCCUGCCUGGGCGUCCUCAACCUCCUCUUUCAACAUCUCUGCAGUUUCCCCCAGCUCCUCUCUCUGGCUGCCACCUGCUCCCCGCCCUCUGUAGCCUGAGUCCAGCUGGCACUUCCCAUCCACGCCCAAGUGUCAGCAAUCAGAGGCAUGCCUGUGAAGCUUGAGGCUGUAUCGUGGGGGUUGGUGGGGAGCUGGGGUAUGGCCCCCAUAUUCGGUUUUCUGAUUCCGGGGGGUCUAAAGAGACCUGAGGAUGUGCGUUUCUCAGAACUUCCCAGGAGAUGCUGAUGCCACGGGUCCAGGGCCAACCCAGGGCUCACUAGGGAAGCAGAAUACGGGGAGUGGGGUGGUGAUGGGGGCUCGGAGCCAAACACAGCUCGAGGGGACGGGCUUGGCUGGGUGGGAGGGAGGAGAUACGUGCUUCUUCCAACCCUAUCAAAUACCUGGUCCUAUUUACCAGUCUCCUGAGAGAAGAUUGAAGGAAUCUGCCUUCUCAAUUUCUGGGUUUCAACGUGAUGUCGAAGGUGCUCAUUUUCUGCCCAAUCCCAGCAAGGAUGUUCCAUUAACACCAAACCCCCAACCAAACCUGGAACGGAGCUGCUGAACGGUCCCAUCCCCUCGGGGCCAAAGAAAGCCCCUCCAUCCUCAGCUGGUGUCUCUGCUUCGGGUGUCUUAAAUGGCUCUGGGCCCGUCUGUGUCAGGACACUAAAAAGGUCUCUGGUAUCGGUUCCCUGCUAAGGCUGACGGCUUCGGACAAGGCUAUCUCUUUGUUUUGUUUUAUUUAAAAAAUUUUUUUAAACUGAAGUAGAGUCAGUUUAUAAUGUAUCAGUUUCUGGUGUGCAUCAUAACGUUUAGUCAUACAUGUACAUACGUAUAUUCCUUUUCGUAUUUGUUCUCCUUAAAGGUUAUUACAUGGUAUUGAAUAUACUUUCCUGUGCUCUA